rnacentral:rRNA from 1 species
GUCCACGCUGUAAACUAUGAACACUAGGUAUUGGAGGAUUUGACCCCUUCAGUGCCGUAGCUAACGCGUUAAGUGUUCCGCCUGGGAAGUACGGUCGCAAGACUAAAACUCAAAGGAAUUGACGGGGGCCCGCACAAGCGGUGGAUUAUGUGGUUUAAUUCGAAGCAACGCGCAGAACCUUACCAAGGCUUGAAAUCCUACGAAUCCCUUUUAAACGAGGGAGUGCUCUUCGGAGAAUGUAGUGACAGGCGCUGCAUGGCUGUCGU